CGGACGGGUGAGUAACGCGUGAGAAUCUGCCAAAAGGACUGGGACAACCACUGGAAACGGUGGCUAAUACCGGAUGUGCCGCAACGUAAAAGAGGAAACUCGCCUUUUGAGGAGCUCGCGUCUGAUUAGCUAGUUGGUGAGGUAAAGGCUCACCAAGGCAUCGAUCAGUAGCUGGUCUGAGAGGAUGAUCAGCCACACUGGGACUGAGACACGGCCCAGACUCCUACGGGAGGCAGCAGUGGGGAAUUUUCCGCAAUGGGCGAAAGCCUGACGGAGCAAGACCGCGUGAGGGAGGAAGGCUCUUGGGUUGUAAACCUCUUUUGUCAGGGAAGAACACAAUGACGGUACCUGAAGAAUCAGCAUCGGCUAACUCCGUGCCAGCAGCCGCGGUAAUACGGGGGAUGCAAGCGUUAUCCGGAAUUAUUGGGCGUAAAGCGUCCGCAGGUGGCUAAUCAAGUCUGCUGUCAAAGGUUGGGGCUUAACCCCAAAAAGGCAGUGGAAACUGAGAAGCUAGAGUGCAGUAGGGGUAGAGGGAAUUCCCGGUGUAGCGGUGAAAUGCGUAGAGAUCGGGAAGAACAUCGGUGGCGAAAGCGCUCUACUGGACUGCAACCGACACUCAGGGACGAAAGCUAGGGGAGCGAAUGGGAUUAGAUACCCCAGUAGUC
rnacentral:rRNA from 1 species